rnacentral:lncRNA from 1 species
CGCCGCCGCCCUCCCGAGCCUUCUCCCGGUGCCGAGCCGGCCAGGCACCGCAUCCCCUUGCGUCCCGCUGACCUGUCAGUCCACCUCACGGUUGGAGCCUGCGGGAGCUGAGCGGGGACUCCUCGGCACCACUUCCCCGCUCAGGCCCGGGAGCCCGCGUGUCGGGCCGUCAGUCGGUCCCUAUGCCGCGCCGAGGGACAUGGCCUUCAUUUGGUCUGAUUUUCUGAGUCUCUCAAACUGCUGCUGCAGGGUCCUUGGAGACAGCUCGUUUCUCCUGGAAGAAUCGCCAAAGUCAGCUUCAGCAGGUUGGUUAAACCUCUCCAGCUCUCUGUUGUCUUAGAUUCAGGAGCUGGGGAGACAGAACAGGCCUCUGACCGGUUAAGUUGGGCUGGGGCAUCUCCCCCAUAGGGUUACAGGUGGGCGGUCACCAGAGGCGCUUCUGCCUCUCACUUGUGAAUUCCCCUUAAAGCCCCGGUUUUCAGGGUCUGAUUUGAGCUAAUAUUCCCCACGAGACGCAGAUACGUUAUGGUGGCAUUUAGCUGCCCACUGCACUGCUUCAUCUCACAGUAAGAGAUGAAUAGGAUGUACAGAAUUAAUUUUGUUGACAAAAUACUUAGGAUCUUCCAAAAGCAGUAGAUAGCUCUCCUCUCAGCUUUAAUUGGAAAUGCUCAGUAAAAGCUCCCAGGAUUUUUCAGUAUGGCAGUUGGUUGGAGUAAUUGUAUUUGAAUCUGCCCACAAAACAGAGAGUUCUACAUAUGCUGUUUAUAGAGCUAAACUUUCUUACAAAUUCAAUCUUUGCAAUUAAAAUUUGUAAUUGUUUUAAAAUUAGUUUGAAUAAUAUGAAAGGACAUUACUUUUUUAUUAAAGAAAGGAAAGAUGUUUGUUAACCAAACUUUUUGGAUGCUGGUCAUCUCGGCAUCAUUGUGAUGAUAAUGUCCUAUCUGUGUCAUAUCAUAGAUGGUUGCUUCUUAGCGAAACUCAGGGUCUGGAGAAUGGAGAGGCAGCUUCUAGUCAGUCAUCUUCUUUGAGAGAGGAUGGAAUGUGGAUAAAAGUUAGGACUUUGGAGUGGAAUAGACCUUGGUUCAAAGCCCACCUCAUCGUUACAGCUGUGUGACCUUAGGCAAAUUACUUAACUUCUCUGAGCCUCACUUUCCCCUCCUCACUAAAAUGGGGAUCAAAAUUCCCACCUUGAGGUGUCGUUGUGAGGAUUAGAUGAAAAAAAUGGAUGUAAAGUGCUUAGCACAACGUUAAGCAUAUGAUGGAAAGUACUCAGUAAUAGUUAUUAUUAUAUAUUAUUAUAACCCAAACAAAUGUAGACAAAUCAAUAUUCAUUUUGCUUU